rnacentral:tRNA from 1 species
GGUCGUGUGGCCUAAUGGAUAAGGCGUCGGACUUCUGUGAAAGUAGUUAUCCGAAAAUUGCGGGUUAGAGUCCCGCCACGAUUA